GGGAAUUAGCUCAGUUGGUAGAGCGCCUGCUUUGCAAGCAGGAUGUCAGGAGUUCGAGUCUCCUAUUCUCCAC
rnacentral:tRNA from 1 species